CCUGGUGGUUCAGGGGGUAAAGCGUCUGCCUCCAAUGCAGGAGACCCAGGUUCGAUCCCUGGGUCAGGA
rnacentral:tRNA from 1 species